rnacentral:rRNA from 1 species
AUUGAACGCUGGCGGCAGGCUUAACACAUGCAAGUCGAGCGGGGGAAGGUAGCUUGCUACCGGACCUAGCGGCGGACGGGUGAGUAAUGCUUAGGAAUCUGCCUAUUAGUGGGGGACAACAUCUCGAAAGGGAUGCUAAUACCGCAUACGUCCUACGGGAGAAAGCAGGGGAUCUUCGGACCUUGCGCUAAUAGAUGAGCCUAAGUCGGAUUAGUUAGUUGGUGGGGUAAAGGCCUACCAAGGCGACGAUCUGUAGCGGGUCUGAGAGGAUGAUCCGCCACACUGGGACUGAGACACGGCCCAGACUCCUACGGGAGGCAGCAGUGGGGAAUAUUGGACAAUGGGGGGAACCCUGAUCCAGCCAUGCCGCGUGUGUGAAGAAGGCCUUAUGGUUGUAAAGCACUUUAAGCGAGGAGGAGGCUACUUUAGUUAAUACCUAGAGAUAGUGGACGUUACUCGCAGAAUAAGCACCGGCUAACUCUGUGCCAGCCGCCGCAGUAAAAC